CCUGAAUUUCCAAAGAUGAUAAAAUGUAAUACAUGAAAAUCACAAACCUUGCAGAUCCAUGCAGUUAAAGAGAUAAAUGAACUCAUAGGAUCUGGACGAUGACGUCACAAUACCACUUCAAACUGUACUUUUUACCCUUUGCCUAAUCUUAUAGGAUUACAAAAAUCAGAUAUAAGAAGUGUUGUACUCCUCUUUGUUUUAAAGGAUUAACUUCCCUGUGACCCUCUGAUUUUGUGUAAAAGCCACUUGUUUAUUUAAUUUGUUUUGAACUUUUGUGUUCCUCACUUUGAAAGUGAGAAUUUGCAAUGCCCCCACCCAGGGUUGUUUGAUGUGAGUUGUCUUUUGUAUCAGUAACCGUGUGAAUGUUGAGG